AUUGAACGCUGGCGGCAGGCUUAACACAUGCAAGUCGAGCGGAGUGAUGGUGCUUGCACUAUCACUUAGCGGCGGACGGGUGAGUAAUGCUUAGGAAUCUGCCUAUUAGUGGGGGACAACAUCUCGAAAGGGAUGCUAAUACCGCAUACGUCCUACGGGAGAAAGCAGGGGAUCACUUGUGACCUUGCGCUAAUAGAUGAGCCUAAGUCGGAUUAGCUAGUUGGUGGGGUAAAGGCCUACCAAGGCGACGAUCUGUAGCGGGUCUGAGAGGAUGAUCCGCCACACUGGGACUGAGACACGGCCCAGACUCCUACGGGAGGCAGCAGUGGGGAAUAUUGGACAAUGGGGGGAACCCUGAUCCAGCCAUGCCGCGUGUGUGAAGAAGGCCUUAUGGUUGUAAAGCACUUUAAGCGAGGAAGAGGCUCUUUUGGUUAAUACCCAAGAUGAGUGGACGUUACUCGCAGAAUAAGCACCGGCUAACCCUGUGCCAGCCGCCGCAGUAA
rnacentral:rRNA from 1 species